rnacentral:misc_RNA from 1 species
GAUGAAGAACGCAGCGAAAUGCGAUAAGUAGUGUGAAUUGCAGAAUUCAGUGAAUCAUCGAAUCUUUGAACGCACAUUGCGCCCUUUGGUAUUCCUUAGGGCAUGCCUGUUCGAGCGUCAUUUAAACCUUCAAGCUCAGCUUGGUGUUGGGUGACUGUCCGCUUCACCGCGGACUCGCCUCAAAAUUAUUGGCGGCCGGUACAUUGGCUUCGAGCGCAGCAGAAACGCGAACUCGGGCCCGUCGUAUUGGCUCCCAGAAGCUAUCUUCACAAUUUUGACCUCGGAUCAGGUAGGGAUACCCGCUGAACUUAAGCAUAUCAAUAAGGGAGGA